GAACUGCGAUAAGUAAUGUGAAUUGCAGAAUUCAGUGAAUCAUCGAGUCUUUGAACGCACAUUGCGCCCCCUGGCAUUCCGGGGGGCAUGCCUGUCCGAGCGUCAUUGCUGCCCUUCAAGCCCGGCUUGUGUGUUGGGUCGUCGUCCCCUCCGGGGGACGGGCCCGAAAGGCAGCGGCGGCACCGCGUCCGGUCCUCGAGCGUAUGGGGCUUUGUCACCCGCUCGAUAAGGACCGGCCGGGCGCCAGCCGGCGUCUCCAACCUUUUUUUCCUCAGGUUGACCUCGGAUCAGGUAGGGAUACCCGCUGAACUUAAGC
rnacentral:misc_RNA from 1 species